rnacentral:rRNA from 1 species
ACUGCAGGAAACUGUGAUGAGGGAACUCCAAGUGCUAUCACUAUGUGGUAGCUUUUCUUGACUAUUAAUCGGUCAUGGAAUAAGGGCUGGGAAAGACCGGUGCCAGCCGCCGCGGUAAUACCGGCAGCUCAAGCGGUCGUCGCUUUUAUUGGGCCUAAAACGUCCGUAGCCUGUUUGGUAAAUCUGUGGGUAAAUCAACCAGCUUAACUGGUUGAAUUCUGCAGAGACUGCCAGACUAGGGACCGGGAGAGGUGUGGGGUACUCUAGGGGUAGGGGUAAAAUCCUGUCAUCCUUAGAGGACCACCAGUUGCGAAGGCGCCACACUGGAACGGAUCCGACGGUCAGGGACGAAGCCUAGGGGCACGAACCGGAUUAGAUACCCGGGUAGUCCUAGGUGUAAACGCUGUGAACUUGGUGUCGGGGAUCCGUAAUGGGUCCUCGGUGCCGGAGUGAAGAUGUUAAGUUCACUGCCUGGGGAGUACGGUCGCAAGGCUGA